rnacentral:rRNA from 1 species
AUGCAGCCCUCCUUCCUCGCUCUUCAGGAAACUAAACUUGUAGCCCCGGACUCGCGCAAAUCUGACUCCUUCCUCCCAAAUGCGUUGCGCUCGUUCCUCCUGGCUGACGCGGUCGGCUCGUCAGGUGGGCUUUGCACUGCUUGGGACUCCCGCGUCUUCUCCAUCGCUAGUAACCUUUGCUCCCCUCGCGUGCUCUCUGUUGACUUGAAUCUCUGUCACGACAAUUCCCUUGUCCGCAUCACGAAUGUUUACGCUCCCUGCGACCACGCGUCCAAGCCCGCCUUCCUUGCCGAGCUCUCCGGCCAUGCCCCCGGUGACGCCAUCCCAUGGGCCGUUUUGGGCGACUUCAAUCUUACUCGUUCUCCCGAAGACCGCAACAAUGCUAAUUUCUGCCGGACCGAGGCCGCACUCUUUAAUGACUUCAUCAAUGAGCUCUCUCUAAUUGACCUUCCCCUCCGCGACCGUCUUUACACGUGGUCCAACCGC